rnacentral:rRNA from 1 species
UGAGGAAUUGUUCGCAAUGGGCGCAAGCCUGACGACGCAACGCCGCGUGGAGGACGAAGAUCUUCGGGUUGUAAACUCCUGUCGAGCGGGACGAACUGCACCCGGGUCAACACCCCGGGUGCCUGACGGUACCGCUAAAGGAAGCCCCGGCUAACUCCGUGCCAGCAGCCGCGGUAAUACGGGGGGGGCAAGCGUUGUUCGGAAUUACUGGGCGUAAAGAGCUCGUAGGCGGCCAACUAAGUCGGACGUGAAAUCCCUCGGCUCAACCGAGGAACUGCGUCCGAGACUGGUUGGCUUGAAGCCGGGAGAGGGAUGCGGAAUUCCAGGUGUAGCGGUGAAAUGCGUAGAUAUCUGGAGGAACACCGGUGGCGAAGGCGGCAUCCUGGACCGGUAUUGACGCUGAGGAGCGAAAGCCAGGGGAGCAAACGGG